UACGUAGGCGGCAAGCGUUGUCCGGAAUCAUUGGGCGUAAAGGGAGCGUAGGUGGGUAUUUAAGUGGAUCUUAAAAGUGCGGGGCUCAACCCCGUGAUGGGGUCCAAACUGAAUAUCUUGAGUGCAGGAGAGGAAAGCGGAAUUCCUAGUGUAGCGGUGAAAUGCGUAGAUAUUAGGAAGAACACCAGUGGCGAAGGCGGCUUUCUGGACUGUAACUGACACUGAGGCUCGAAAGCCAGGGUAGCGAACGGG
rnacentral:rRNA from 1 species